rnacentral:rRNA from 1 species
AGAGUUUGAUCAUGGCUCAGAUUGAACGCUGGCGGCAUGCCUUACACAUGCAAGUCGAACGGUAAGGCCCUUCGGGGUACACGAGUGGCGAACGGGUGAGUAACACGUAGGGUGAUCUGCCCUGCACUUCGGGAUAAGCUUGGGAAACUGGGUCUAAUACCGGAUAGGACCACGGUCUGCAUGGAUUGUGGUGGAAAGCUUUUGCGGUGUGGGAUGGGCCCGCGGCCUAUCAGCUUGUUGGUGGGGUGAUGGCCUACCAAGGCGACGACGGGUAGCCGGCCAGAGAGGGUGUCCGGCCACACUGGGACUGAGAUACGGCCCAGACUCCUACGGGAGGCAGCAGUGGGGAAUAUUGCACAAUGGGCGCAAGCCUGAUGCAGCGACGCCGCGUGGGGGAUGACGGCCUUCGGGUUGUAAACCUCUUUCAGCAGGGACGAAGGGUGACUGACGGUACCUGUAGAAGAAGCACCGGCCAACUACGUG